GAUCAUUAUNGUAACAACGGAGGCGUGAGGGCUGUCGCUGACCUGAACCCUCAGGUCGUGCACGCCCGAGCGUUCUCUUACAUCCAUCUCACCCCAAUGUGCACCACCGCGUGGGGUCCCCCUUUGGCUUGUUCGGAGGGGGGCUUUACGUUUUCACACAAACUUGUAUGCAGUGUAGAAUGUACCUUUGUUUUGCGAUCACGCAAUUAAUACAACUUUCAACAACGGAUCUCUUGGCUCUCGCAUCGAUGAAGAACGCAGCGAAAUGCGAUACGUAAUGUGAAUUGCAGAAUUCAGUGAAUCAUCGAAUCUUUGAACGCACCUUGCGCCCCUUGGCAUUCCGAGGGGCACACCCGUUUGAGUGUCGUG
rnacentral:misc_RNA from 1 species